AAAAUGGUUCGGAGUGACACUGGG
rnacentral:piRNA from 1 species